GCUGACACAUCCCUGCCAAUCUCCGGCAGACCCUCCCUCCCAGACCCUCCUACUUCCUGGACAGCAUCCAUGUUGAAGGCAGCUUCAACAUGGAUGCUGUCCAGGAGGUGGGAGGGUCUGGGAGGGAGGGUCUGCCGGAGAUUGGCAGGGAUGUGUCAG